rnacentral:rRNA from 1 species
AUGCCCGGCCGUAUGCUCGUAUUCGUAUACGGCGGCGUUUCGUGCACGCCUGCAGCCGCCCGCGCGUGGGGCAGCACGUGUCACGAGGGGUUGCCAAAACUGUCCCAUCAUAUAAAUGUGGACGGCAACCACCUCCGGCCGCAUCGCCCACCAUUUACCCCCGCCGCAUCGUCUCCCUAUCUCCACUCCCCACUCCCCACGAGCCCCACUCCCUCUCCUCUCCAACCUCCUCGUCUCCCUCACCGCAUCCUCUCCAUCGCCAUGGCGAACGCAGGAGGUGAGCGCCCGGAUUGGGGCGCAGAUCUGGUGGAGAAGGCGCGGCAGGUCGCUGCGGGCACCUUUGUGAGGGGACGUGCCGGCGUACAGCGCGGUGCUCCCUCCGCUGCAGAUCUGGAGAAGGCGGGGGCGGGAUGCAGCGGCGCAGUCCAGCCAGAUGCGCCCGCUCUGGCGAUCUCCGGCGAGGCACAGAAGGUGGAGGCGGGCUCUGGCGAGGCGCAGAAGGUGGAGGCGGGCUCCGGCGAGGCGCACGAGGUGGAGAAGGUGGAUAAGGUGGAGGCCGGCUCUGGCGAGGAGCAGGCGGAGCAGAAGAAGGAGGAUCUUGUUGGCAACAAGAGGAAGUGGGACGCAUCUGGGUACGACCCUUAUGACAGUGAUGAGGAUGAGCCGUACGAGUAUGGAUCUGGAGAUGAUGUGGUCCAGGGGAACGCCAAGUCCUUUGAAGAGAAGGAGGAGUUGAAGAUCAGGGCCCAAGGACCUGCUAAGUACUACAACUGGAGGUCUGACAAGUACCGGUGCCCCUACUGCACCAGGCCCAAGCCCAGGUCUGGGUUGCUGGAGCAUCUGAUGGAGCAUUGUCGGGCUACAUCCAUCAGCAGUCAUGACUACAAGAUCAGGGCUCAGCAUUCUGCCCUCCACAAGGUCCUGAAACCCUGA